rnacentral:rRNA from 1 species
GUAAGGAAUAUUGGUCAAUGGACGGAAGUCUGAACCAGCCAUGCCGCGUGCAGGAAGACGGCCCUAUGGGUUGUAAACUGCUUUUGCAGGGGAAUAAACCCCGAUACGUGUAUCGGGUUGAAUGUACUCUGAGAAUAAGGAUCGGCUAACUCCGUGCCAGCAGCCGCGGUAAUACGGAGGAUCCGAGCGUUAUCCGGAUUUAUUGGGUUUAAAGGGUGCGUAGGUGGCCUGUUAAGUCAGGGGUGAAAGACGGUAGCUUAACUAUCGCAGUGCCCUUGAUACUGAUGGGCUUGAAUGAACUAGAGGUAGGCGGAAUGUGACAAGUAGCGGUGAAAUGCAUAGAUAUGUCACAGAACACCAAUUGCGAAGGCAGCUUACUAUGGUUUUAUUGACACUGAGGCACGAAAGCGUGGGGAUCAAACAGG